AAUUCCAUCCAGACAGAGUUAUCCUGGUGUUGUCAGGAAAAAAUCCAAAUGUUUGCCAGAUAAGAGCGUAGCAUUAUGUAAUAAUGUUCUGGGAUUGUGGAUAGAAUGUAUAAAGGAAAUGAAAUGUCAGAAUGACGAUCUUAAGAAACUGGUAAAUGACCAACGUUCCUUAGAAUUGAUCCAAAGAACAAUAGAUGUACAAAUAGAGAGAAUAGAAAGAAGAAUGGAAAUCUAUUUUUUAUCGCAAGAUUUAAAAGCUACGAAUGGAGGAUGAAAAGGCGCUUGUUUCCGAAUGAAAAAAAAAAAAUUCUUUUUUUAAAGUAAAAUAAUGUACAAUAUUGGCAAAGUGAUUUGAGUUGAGCCAAAGAUCCAAACAGAAAUAUAACAGUAUGAUCAUAUUUUUUUUAUAUAUGUAUUAUCAGCAGCUGAUUAAUUAGUAUAUGUCGUAUAUCUCGCUAUGGACAAAAACUUUAUGAAGUGUUGUAACUUUUGUUAUCUUUAUUUACAAAAGAUAAUUUUUGCUUGUAAACUACUCAUUCAAUAUCUAGCAGCCAA